rnacentral:misc_RNA from 1 species
GCGGUGAUGAUUCAAGCUCUUGCGCAUCGUGUUCCAUAUAUGUGGGUGAUCGAAGAAGAUGGAAGCUUGGUUGGCAUUAUCACAUUUGCGUCGAUGUUGAAGGUUUUCCGCGAACGUUUGAAAUCAAUGUGUUAAAAGGACAUCAGCUAGAGCUUUGCCCACAUAUUAAGCUGAAACUAUAAUAAUGUCUACAUUGCGUUAUUUUGCUCACUU